UAACGGCGAGUGAAGCGGCAACAGCUCAAAUUUGAAAUCUGGUCCCCAGGGCCCGAGUUGUAAUUUGUAGAGGAUGCUUUUGGCGAGGCGCCUUCCGAGUUCCCUGGAACGGGACGCCACAGAGGGUGAGAGCCCCGUCUGGUCGGAUGCCAAGCCUAUGUAAAGCUCCUUCGACGAGUCGAGUAGUUUGGGAAUGCUGCUCAAAAUGGGAGGUAUAUGUCUUCUAAAGCUAAAUACCGGCCAGAGACCGAUAGCGCACAAGUAGAGUGAUCGAAAGAUGAAAAGCACUUUGAAAAGAGGGUUAAAAAGUACGUGAAAUUGUUGAAAGGGAAGCGCCUAUGACCAGACUUGGGCCCGGUGAAUCAUCCAGCGUUCUCGCUGGUGCACUUUGCCGGGCACAGGCCAGCAUCAGUUUGGCGCGGGGGACAAAGGCUUCGGGAAUGUGGCUCCCCUCGGGGAGUGUUAUAGCCCGUUGCGCAAUACCCUGCGCCGGACUGAGGUACGCGCUCCGCAAGGAUGCUGGCGUAAUGGUCAUCAGGG
rnacentral:rRNA from 1 species